rnacentral:rRNA from 1 species
CCUACGGGAGGCAGCAGUGGGGAAUAUUGGACAAUGGGGGGAACCCUGAUCCAGCCAUGCCGCGUGUGUGAAGAAGGCCCUCGGGUUGUAAAGCACUUUCAGUGAGGAAGAACGCCUGGUGGUUAAUACCCAUCAGGAAAGACAUCACUCACAGAAGAAGCACCGGCUAACUCCGUGCCAGCAGCCGCGGUAAUACGGAGGGUGCGAGCGUUAAUCGGAAUUACUGGGCGUAAAGCGCGCGUAGGUGGCUUGAUAAGCCGGUUGUGAAAGCCCCGGGCUCAACCUGGGAACGGCAUCCGGAACUGUCAAGCUAGAGUGCAGGAGAGGAAGGUAGAAUUCCCGGUGUAGCGGUGAAAGGCGUAGAGAUCGGGAGGAAUACCAGUGGCGAAGGCGGCCUUCUGGACUGACACUGACACUGAGGUGCGAAAGCGUGGGUAGCAAACAGGAUUAGAUACCCCAGUAGUC